AUGGGCAGCAAGACUAUUCAGGUGUCAGGGUUUCCUUCAACUGUCAAUGCUGACCAUGUCAAGGAUUUGUUGGAACAAAUUGUUGGUACUGGCAACGUCUUUGCGAUCAAGCUCAGGCCCCCAAAGAACAUCUCUGCAAACUCAAAAUCUUUUGCCAUUGUUCAGUUCCAGUCCGAGGCACAUGCUUCGCUGGUGUUGAAUGCGGCCCGACGGAAUGCACUUAGGAGUGGAAGUAAUCAUCUGAAGGCCCGAUAUGCAGAGCGUGACAUUGUUCCAAGACCAAGAACUACGAUUUUUAAUCUACAGGAUGCAACACUGCAUUUUGGCUGCCUUCUGAGGGAAAAAGCUCUAUCUGUUCUGUGGAGCGGAACAAAUGUUUCCGUUGAGUUUGGAUUUGCUAUGAAGAGGAUUGACUUUUGCCUGAUCUACAACUCGAAGAAAUACAAACUUGAACUCUCCUACGAGAGCAUAUGGGAGAUCCAGCUUCAUCGUCCACCUGGGUUGCAAAAAAAGUUCCUUCUGAUUCAGGUUCAAGCUGCCCCGAAAAUUUAUGAACAAAACAUACGCCGUUCUGGUUCUAUGUACGAUGAUCCUUUAUUCAACUAUUUUAGGGAUGAUACAGAUGACCAGUGGACCAGAACAACUGAUUUUACUCCAUCAGCCAGCAUUGGGCAAUCAUAUAUCCUAUGUCUGGAGCUACCACAUAUUUGUUAUCUCCCGAACAUCCGAGAGUACUUUGUUUACUAUGAAGUACACGAUGACGUCUUCCAUCUCCAGCGUGGACAUUCAUAUUCAAGCAAUACUUGCUUUGUUCCAGUUGUGAAAUCUCAUCAUUUCACUGACGUCCCCUACGAGAUACUCUUUAAGAUCAACCACUUGGUUCAGAAUGGGACACUUAGUGGGCCAACACUUGAUGACAACUUCUACCGUCUGGUCAGCCCAGGAUAUGAAUGUAUUGACCAUAUAAAGCGUGCACUUGAAAAGAUGUCAUACCUAAAAAAGACUUGUUUGAAUCCAACAAAGUGGUUAUCUGAACAAUACAAAAAAAAUCGGAGAUCACGCUACAUGUUAAAAUCACCAAACAUAACCCUGGAUGAUGAUGGGUUGGUAUAUGUCUACAGGGUGCAAAUUACCCCUGCGAAAGUGUACUUUUAUGGUCCUGAGAUUAAUGUCUCGAAUCGUGUUGUACGGCAUUACGCUGCUGAUUUGGAUAACUUCCUUCGGAUUUCGUUUGUUGAUGAGGACUGUGAGAAGCUUCGUUCAACUGAUUUAUCACAACGCUCUGCUCCAGGAAAUAAUACAAGGAGGACUGCUCUUUAUAACAGAGUUCUUUCGGUCCUUUCAAAUGGCAUCACUAUCGGUGACAAGCACUUUGACUUUCUGGCUUUUUCUUCAAGCCAGCUCCGAGAUAACUCUGCAUGGAUGUUUGCUUCUCGGCCGGGGUUAUCUGCCAGUGACAUCAGGGAGUGGAUGGGGGACUUCCGUAAUAUUAGAAAUGUGGCAAAGUAUGCUGCAAGGCUUGGUCAGUCUUUUAGUUCCUCAACAGAAACUUUGAAAGUGCAUAAGUACGAGGUGAAAGAAGCUCCAGAUGUAACAAACGGAACAAAGUAUGUAUUCUCGGAUGGAAUUGGAACCAUUUCAGCUGAUUUUGCAGAUGAAGUGUCUAAGAAGUGCAACUUGACCCGCUUUACUCCCUCCGCUUUCCAAAUAAGGUAUGGAGGUUACAAAGGUGUUGUCGCUAUUGAUCCAACAUCACGCUGGAAACUAUCUUUAAGAAAAAGCAUGUCAAAGUUUCAGUCAGAAAACAUUACACUUGAUGUCCUUGCAUACAGCAAGUACCAGCCAUGUUUCCUGAACCGGCAGUUAAUCACUCUUCUUUCGACACUCGGAGUCAGAGAUAGCAUAUUUGAACUGAAGCAACAAGAAGCUGUGAAGCAGUUGAACAGAAUGGUAGCUGAACCACAAGCUGCUAUUGAUGCAAUUGAGCUUAUGCCCAUGGGUGAGGUUACAAAUGUUGUUAAAGAGUUGCUGUUAUGUGGCUACCAGCCGGAUCUUGAACCAUAUGUUUCUAUGCUUCUACAAACCUUUAGAGCAUCCAAGCUGCUAGAAUUGAAAACGAGGUCAAGGAUAUUUGUCCCAAAAGGACGAGCAAUGAUGGGAUGCCUGGAUGAAACCCGCACACUGAAGUACGGAUAG
rnacentral:rRNA from 1 species